AGAUUAAGUUAUUAAGGGCGCACGGUGGAUGCCUUGGCACUAGAAGCCGAAGAAGGACGUUACUAACGACGAUAUGCUUUGGGUAGCUGUAAGUAAGCGUUGAUCCAGAGAUUUCCGAAUGGGGGAACCCAACAUGAGUUAUGUCAUGUUAUCGACAUGUGAAUUCAUAGCAUGUCAGAAGGCAGACCCGGAGAACUGAAACAUCUUAGUACCCGGAGGAAGAGAAAGAAAAAUCGAUUCCCUGAGUAGCGGCGAGCGAAACGGGAAGAGCCCAAACCAACAAGCUUGCUUGUUGGGGUUGUAGGACACUCUAUACGGAGUUACAAAAGAACAUGUUAGACGAAUCAUCUGGAAAGAUGAAUCAAAGAAGGUAAUAAUCCUGUAGUCGAAAACAUAUUCUCUCUUGAGUGGAUCCUGAGUACGACGGAGCACGUGAAAUUCCGUCGGAAUCUAGGAGGACCAUCUCCUAAGGCUAAAUACUCUCUAGUGACCGAUAGUGAACCAGUACCGUGAGGGAAAGGUGAAAAGUACCCCGGAAGGGGAGUGAAAGAGAACUUGAAACCGUGUGCUUACAAGUAGUCAGAGCCCGUUUAUGGGUGAUGGCGUGCCUUUUGUAGAAUGAACCGGCGAGUUACGAUCUGAUGCAAGGUUAAGCAGCGAAUGUGGAGCCGUAGCGAAAGCGAGUCUGAAUAGGGCGUUGAGUAUUUGGUCGUAGACCCGAAACCAGGUGAUCUACCCUUGGUCAGGUUGAAGUUCAGGUAACACUGAAUGGAGGACCGAACCGACUUACGUUGAAAAGUGAGCGGAUGAACUGAGGGUAGCGGAGAAAUUCCAAUCGAACUUGGAGAUAGCUGGUUCUCUCCGAAAUAGCUUUAGGGCUAGCCUCAAGUGAUGAUUAUUGGAGGUAGAGCACUGUUUGGACGAGGGGCCCCUCUCGGGUUACCGAAUUCAGACAAACUCCGAAUGCCAAUCAAUUUAACUUGGGAGUCAGAACAUGGGUGAUAAGGUCCGUGUUCGAAAGGGAAACAGCCCAGACCACCAGCUAAGGUCCCAAAAUAUAUGUUAAGUGGAAAAGGAUGUGGCGUUGCCCAGACAACUAGGAUGUUGGCUUAGAAGCAGCCAUCAUUUAAAGAGUGCGUAAUAGCUCACUAGUCGAGUGACACUGCGCCGAAAAUGUACCGGGGCUAAACAUAUUACCGAAGCUGUGGAUUGUCCUUCGGACAAUGGUAGGAGAGCGUUCUAAGGGCGUUGAAGCAUGAUCGCAAGGACAUGUGGAGCGCUUAGAAGUGAGAAUGCCGGUGUGAGUAGCGAAAGACGGGUGAGAAUCCCGUCCACCGAUUGACUAAGGUUUCCAGAGGAAGGCUCGUCCGCUCUGGGUUAGUCGGGUCCUAAGCUGAGGCCGACAGGCGUAGGCGAUGGAUAACAGGUUGAUAUUCCUGUACCACCUAGUAUCGUUUUAAUCGAUGGGGGGACGCAGUAGGAUAGGCGAAGCGUGCUGUUGGAGUGCACGUCCAAGCAGUAAGGCUGAGUGUUAGGCAAAUCCGGCACUCGUUAGGCUGAGCUGUGAUGGGGAGAGGAAAUUGUUUCCUUGAGUCGUUGAUUUCACACUGCCGAGAAAAGCCUCUAGAUAGAUAACAGGUGCCCGUACCGCAAACCGACACAGGUAGUCAAGAUGAGAAUUCUAAGGUGAGCGAGCGAACUCUCGUUAAGGAACUCGGCAAAAUGACCCCGUAACUUCGGGAGAAGGGGUGCUCUUUAGGGUUCACGCCCAGAAGAGCCGCAGUGAAUAGUCCCAAGCGACUGUUUAUCAAAAACACAGGUCUCUGCUAAACCGUAAGGUGAUGUAUAGGGGCUGACGCCUGCCCGGUGCUGGAAGGUUAAGAGGAGUGGUUAGCUUCUGCGAAGCCACGAAUCGAAGCCCCAGUAAACGGCGGCCGUAACUAUAACGGUCCUAAGGUAGCGAAAUUCCUUGUCGGGUAAGUUCCGACCCGCACGAAAGGCGUAACGAUUUGGGCACUGUCUCAACGAGAGACUCGGUGAAAUCAUAGUACCUGUGAAGAUGCAGGUUACCCGCGCCAGGACGGAAAGACCCCGUGGAGCUUUACUGUAGCCUGAUAUUGAAAUUCGGCACAGCUUGUACAGGAUAGGUAGGAGCCAUUGAAACGUGAGCGCUAGCUUACGUGGAGGCGUUGGUGGGAUACUACCCUAGCUGUGUUGGCUUUCUAACCCGCACCACUUAUCGUGGUGGGAGACAGUGUCAGGCGGGCAGUUUGACUGGGGCGGUCGCCUCCUAAAAGGUAACGGAGGCGCUCAAAGGUUCCCUCAGAAUGGUUGGAAAUCAUUCACAGAGUGUAAAGGCAUAAGGGAGCUUGACUGCGAGACCUACAAGUCGAGCAGGGUCGAAAGACGGACUUAGUGAUCCGGUGGUUCCGCAUGGAAGGGCCAUCGCUCAACGGAUAAAAGCUACCCCGGGGAUAACAGGCUUAUCUCCCCCAAGAGUUCACAUCGACGGGGAGGUUUGGCACCUCGAUGUCGGCUCAUCGCAUCCUGGGGCUGUAGUCGGUCCCAAGGGUUGGGCUGUUCGCCCAUUAAAGCGGUACGCGAGCUGGGUUCAGAACGUCGUGAGACAGUUCGGUCCCUAUCCGUCGUGGGCGUAGGAAAUUUGAGAGGAGCUGUCCUUAGUACGAGAGGACCGGGAUGGACAUACCUCUGGUGUACCAGUUGUCGUGCCAACGGCAUAGCUGGGUAGCUAUGUAUGGACGGGAUAAGUGCUGAAAGCAUCUAAGCAUGAAGCCCCCCUCAAGAUGAGAUUUCCCAACUUCGGUUAUAAGAUCCCUCGAAGAUGACGAGGUUAAUAGGUUCGAGGUGGAAGCGUGGUGACACGUGGAGCUGACGAAUACUAAUCGAUCGAAGACUUAAUCAAU
rnacentral:rRNA from 1 species